CCCCACAGCUCCUAAGAAUUCUCUCACCUGCCUUCUGCCCUUAGGCUCUGCUAGAUUGCAAAUGACCUGCUUUCUUUCUGAUCCUGGGCUGCGUUCCCACCCCUGUCAGAUAGUAAAUCCCAAGUAAGGUACCUGCUUUCGGCAGCUCUGAGCUUUCUUCUUGGACACCUAAAACCCACAGUCCUCCAGGCUCCGAUAGAUUGCAAAUGACCUGCUUUCUUUCUGAUCCUGGGCUGCGUUCAGACCCCUGUGGGAUAGUAAAUCCCAAGUAAGGUACUUGCCUUCCGCAGAUCUGAGCUUUCUUCUUAGACACCUAAUACCCACAGUCCUCCAGGCUCCGAUAGAUUGCAAAUGACCUGCUUUCUUUCUGAUCCCGGGCUGCUGAGUUCGGACCCCUGUUGGAUAGUAAAUCCCAAGUAAGGUACCUGCCUUCGGCAGCUCUGAGAUUUCUUCUUGGACACCUAAUACCCACAGUCCUCCAGUUACCUGUGUGUCCCCUGUGGUACCUAUGGAAACCAGUUGUUGGGAAAUCCUUGUUAAGGUA
rnacentral:lncRNA from 1 species